CGGCAACAGCUCAAAUUUGAAAUCUGGGCCUUUUAGGUCCCGAGUUGUAAUUUGUAGAAGAUGCUUCGGGCGUGGCUCCGGUCUAAGUCUCUUGGAACAGGGCGUCAUAGAGGGUGAGAAUCCCGUAUGUGACUGGCUGCCUCCGUCCAUGUGAAGCUCUUUCGAC
rnacentral:rRNA from 1 species